rnacentral:tRNA from 1 species
GGGUUGUAGCUCAGUUGAUAGAGCACCUGAUUUGCAUUCAGGGGGUCGUGGGUUUGAGUCCCAUCAGCUCC